AGAUCUAGUAAACGGAUUACACUUCCCAUUCCAAAGUAUUGCCAAAACAUUCGUGAGUACACACUUAAAGAGUGUUCACCGUAAUCAAAAAGUGCUGCGUUUUCUAGCACUACCCCUUUUCAAAACAAAAACCGACGCCAUGGAAAGUCUAUCGCUGCAGCAGUUGAUCGAUCUGCAAAACAUCCAAAAGGAGCUAAACAGCAACAAGGACGUCUACCUAAAGCUUUACCGUCAAGUGCUCAAAGACAAAUUCAAAACAGAACUAAACAAUUUGGUAUGUGAGUCGUACAAUAACAAAACGGAGCCCUAUAAAAAUAUUGGUAAUCCCACAGGUGCGAGCUGAUUUCGACAUAGUAAAAUCGGAACUAAAAGUUCCACAAUUGCCACCCCUCCCUAUUGAAGACGAGUCAACGCAAUCCACGACACAGUUCAGUGAUGUGGUGAAGGACUACGACUUUACCAUGGACUGCUUGUCCUUGCUGUAGGACUGCUCCGAUCGAUCCGUGGUGCUGUUCAGCCAAUAUCCAUGCAGGACGCGAUAU